AGUGGAACUGUUAGAUCAUAUGGUAGAUCUAAUAUUAGCAUUUUGAGGAUCUUCCAAACUGCUCUCCAAGAUGGUUUGUCAAUUUACAUUCCCACCAAUAGU
rnacentral:miRNA from 1 species